UUCAAAUCUACCCUUAUGUACCCAGAAUAGUAUUAGGCGUGCGCGUCUCAGGAAUCAUUUUUGAGUUUAACAGCUUUCAAAACAAACGAAAAAUUAUUAUGUUUUACAGAUAUUGUGAAGCGUAUUGACAGUUAAAACAUCCAUUAAUUAUUCGUUAAUAAAACAUCCUUCAACACGCAGUGGAAUGUAUUAUAUUAAUCCGCAAGGACUCAGUUCAUCGCCAUUGGUUCAAGUAUAUUGUGAUAUGACGUCAAAGAAUGGUGUUGGUGUGACAGGGAUUGGACAUGACAGUGGAUCAAGAGAACUUGUGAAGGGAUAUAAUCCCGCAGGUUCUUACAGACGAAAGAUUAAAUAUCGUAAUUUCGAUGGAGCAGAUCCUUGCCAUUAUGAAGCAGUCCAAGAAUUGUGAGCAGUUUAUAAAAUAUGAAUGUUAUGGUAGCGGUAUGUGGUUCUCUACACCUUAUGGUUGGUGGGUAUCACGUCAAGGUACAAAGAUGAAGUACUGGGGUGGAGCGGCAGUCAACAGUGGAAAAUGUGCAUGUGGAAUGACCAACAGCUGUGCAGGUGGAGGAAAAUGUAAUUGUGACAAGAAUGAC